rnacentral:lncRNA from 1 species
CCGAAAAAUAAAAGAAAAAGGGUGGAUCCCCUAUUUUUCAAUUCUUUAAAUUUUUUGCCGGACGAACCUCAUCGCCGGCCAUCCUUGGCUUCACCACCGUCUCCACCUGCUGUCGAACAUUCGGCCAUGCUGCCAUCCCUCGCUGGAGCCAAGCUGGAGCUCUCUAGUCUUCCCCUGUUUCGACCCAAGGGAGGCUGCGGGA